CACGUAGUUAGCCGGAGCUUAUUCUACAGGUACUGUCUUGUUUCUUCCCUGCCUAAAGCAGUUUACAAUCCGAAAACCUUCUUCCUGCACGCGGCGUCACUGCAUCAGAGUUUCCUCCAUUGUGCAAUAUUCCCGACUGCUGCCUCCCGUAGGAGUCUGGGCCGUAUCUCAGUCCCAAUGUGGCCGUUCAACCUCUCAGUUCGGCUACUGAUCGUCGACUUGGUAGGCCUUUACCCCACCAACUAUCUAAUCAGACGCAAGCCCAUCUAUUAGCGGAUUGCUCCUUUCCCACUGAUACCAUGUGGUAUCUAUGGCAUAUGCGGUAUUAGCAAUGAUUUCUCACUGUUAUUCCCCUCUAAUAGGCAGGUUGCUUACGUGUUACUCACCAGUCCGCCACUAACCGCUUUACCAAAUGUAAAACAUUCGAAUUAAGUUCGUUCGACUUGCAUGUCUUAUGUGCGCCGCAGCGUUUUAUCCUGAGCCAGGAUACAAACU
rnacentral:rRNA from 1 species